rnacentral:rRNA from 1 species
UACGUAGGGUGCGAACGUUAAUCGGAAUCACUGGGCGUAAAGCGCGCGUAGGCGGUUUGUUAAGUGCCUUGUGAAAUCCCACGGCUUAACCGUGGAACUGCUUGGCAUACUGGCGGUCUUGAGCAACCUAGGGGCGAGCGGAACAAAUGGUGGAGCGGUGAAAUGCGUAGAUAUCAUUUGGAACGCCAAUGGUGAAAACAGCUCGCUGGGGGUUUGCUGACGCUGAGACACGAAAGCCAGGGGAGCAAACGGG